AGGCAAUGGCACUGUAAGAAGGCAUAAAUUCUGAUAAUUUGAGCCUGCUACAACAACAAAGUCAACCUAUGUCAGUGUUCUCUUCCCCAUGAGGCAAGCUGUUUACAGGCUCAAAGAAU
ensembl:snoRNA Gm23034 predicted gene, 23034